rnacentral:lncRNA from 1 species
UGCUGGCACCUUGAUCUUGGACUUUCCGGGCUUCAGAAUAAAAUAAAUUAAAUACAUUUUCUCUGUAAAACAACCAAAAAGCUUUUAAGAAAACAGUGAAUCUUCUAUAAAAACAAUGACUAGCUACUUGUUUUCUGAGACAUGUACAUGAAACCAGAGCCUAUUUUCUAGAGGAUCUCAUUGUCAAUGAGCAGAUGGCCGCUCUGCUGGUCAGAAGAGCUUCUUCAUGAACUAAGGGGCCACUGAAUCUCAUUAAUGUUUUUUGCUUCUUGGCUGCUGUUGGAGGAACGUAAAAUUCUUUGCAAAGUGUGAACAAAUGGUGUCGACUCAUCUGUUUAUUAAGGACAUGAGAGCCUACAUAGUAUCUUAGAGCUCCAAACGCCAAUGAAGUUGAUUUUAGAACACUGAUUAUUGUUUAUGGGCAGGGCAGGCUUGGACAGGUUUUGACAUGUGUAUCCCUGUCCAGCAAGACUCGGACAUGGGGUGGGGAGCUUCAAGUGGUGGUCAAGGGUGAAUUCUAUUCUGAGAAGGUUCUGGUUUGUUUUUCCUGCACUGCCCACUUCCUUCCUUAAGGAGCUACUUCCUCUUAAACGACAUUUCCUUGCCCCAUAUUAGCACAGGGCCACGUGCACAGUAAGGGUGAGAUAGGGUGGUAAUCCACAGGGUUGAGCGCUUACAGAUUCUCUCUCCUCCAGCUAUGUCGACUGCAGCUGCUCACCCGGGAACCAAAGGCCAACUUUCUCACCCAGCAAAUAACAUAAUGCAUUGGAUUUCCCAAACAGGGGAAGUAAAGAGAUUGGUCCAACAGAGUUCAGGAAGGAAUGUGAACAGCCUGGCUGGCACCUACAACCAAAGAGGGCAAACAGAUCAUUCACUUCCUUCCCGCGGAACAGAUGCAGAAACAAAGAAGCUAUCCACCUCCAGACUGAUGAAGAGAACCUGGCCCCUAGAAGCUAACGUGUUCGCUACAAAAGCGGGAACUUGGAACCAUUCUUUCUGUUUUUCUUCGGCCACACCUCAUGCUAUGCAAAAGCUCCCUGACCAAGGAUCAAACCAGCACCCCUUCCCCCGUGGAAGCGCAGCGUCCCAACCACUGGACCAGCAGGAAAGGACCAAACCAUCACUUCUUAUAUGGAGAUAGACUUGAUUGUAUUUUCUUCACAAAGGGAAUCCUUGUGGCUUUUUAAAAACAUGUUGCUGUGUUCAGCUGCUGGCAUCUCCACAAGACACAAAUAACCUAGGAAUCCCUACAUAUCGGCACAUCCAACUUAGCCCACUGUUUACUCUGAUUUACUCCCAGUCUGUCACAACGGCCCCUCUUGAAUUCUUAGCUCCCUAAUCAGUAUGGUGGCAGCUGUUCUAAACAGAGGUGACCCUGUUUCACUUAGCCACUGGUCUCAGCAGCAGACACAGUAUGGGGUCAGAGGUAAAGCAAUAUUAGGAGACCAGAGAGUCAAACUUACAGGGUUGGGGAGACCAACAGUUCUGGGGCAAGGAAUGCUGAAGCUGGGUUGGGGGUUAAUGUGCGGGGACAGUUCUCCAGUCAACCGCACACAGUAACUAGGUAGCCAUUCUUAUUUCUUUGCCAUUCCAACCUGACCAUUCAACUAAAAUCGCAGACUCUGGGGUGUGAAGAAAACCAGGACUGAAAGGCUGCUCCCCACAAUCCAUCUUCACAUCAAGUGAUAUUAAGGGUGCCUUGGCAACUGCAAGAGAAGCAGCAUGUUUACCGCGCCACUUCUGGAAUUUCAAAUUCAAGUAUAAGCUAUUUCUGUACAUUCAUAAAACAUCGUACUGUAUUAGAGUUCUUAAAAAUACCCAUUUAUUUCAUUACAUUGUCUUCUUCUGUAAUAGGUGAAAAAAUUGUUUUAGCAUGAAAGAAAUAAAGCUCUUCCAUGAUUGGUUCUGUUUGCUUGUUUUCUCUGAAGGAGCAAUAAUAUCUGGGGAAGAAAUAAUGGCACGUAUAGCAAACAAAAAAUAUUAAAAGGAUAGUAUCUGUUCACAUUUUUGACUACUGCUAAAUAGAUAUUUUACAACUCUGGUUUAUGUUUGUGUAUAAGCCCUUGGCCACUGUGAUCCUCAUUUCAGACAGAUGUUUCUAUUUUCAUCUGAAGUUUCAAUACAUUUUUUAGUAUGUUCUCUUUCUUCCUAAUAGUUAAAAUUUUCUUUUCAAAAGAUAAUGUAUUUUAAAGACUGACUCUCUUUUUUAUUUUUCAUUUUUUAAAUUUUACUUUACAAUACUGUAUUGGUUUUGCCAUACAUCAACAUGAAUCCACCACGGGUGUGCUGAGUUCCCAAUCCUGAACCCCUCUUCCACCUCCCUCCCCAUACCAUCUCUCUGGGUCAUCCCAGUGCACCAGCCCCAAGCAUCCUGCAUCCUGCAUCAAACCUAGACUGGCGAUUCGUUUCUUACAUGGUAUUAUACAUGUUUCAAUGCCAUUCUCCCAAAUCAUCCCACCCUCUCCCUCUCCCUCUCCCAUAGAGUCCAGAAGUCUGUUCUAUACAUCUGUGUCUCUUUUGCUGUCUUGCAUACAGGCUUAUCAUUACCAUCUUUCUAAAUUCCAUAUAUGUUACUGCUACUGCUGCUGCUAAGUUGCUUCAGUCGUGUCCAACUCUGUGCGACCCCAUGGACGGCAGCCCACCAGGCACCCCCAUCCCCAGGAUUCUCCAGGCAAGAACACUGCAGUGGGUUGCCAUUUCCUUCUCAAAUGCAGGAAAGUGAAAAGUGAAAGUGAAGUUGCUCAGUCGUGUCCGACCCUCAGCGACCCCAUGGACUGCAGCCUUCCAGGCUCCGCCGUCCAUGGGAUUUUCCAGUCAAGAGUACUGGAGUGGGGUGUCUGUGCGUUAGUAUACUGUAUUGGUGUUUUUCUUUCUGGCUUACUUCACUCUGUAUAAUCGGCUCCAGUUUCACCCACCUCAUUAGAACUGAUUCAAUGUAUUCUUUUUAAUGGCUGAGUAAUACUCCAUUGUGUAUAUGUACCAUAGCUUUCUUAUCCAUCCACCUGCUGAUGGACAUCUAUAAAGACUGACUCUUAUUCUUAAUUUUAUUCAGGUCAUGUAGUAUAUUUCAUGGAAGGAAAUUUGCAUAGGAUAAGCAUGUACUCCAAAGGAAUUUUAAGUAAAGGCCCUAUACUCCCACAUUCAGCGUGCACCUCAUCUUCCAGCACACUGUUUCAGUUGCAACAAAAUAUUUAAACCCAUUAAUGAACAUCAAAUAAUCUGGCCUGUCAUCUGGAUAUUUCGUCAACACAAUGUUUUGAUACUUGGAUAUUUCUGAGUUGUUCAUUUCAUCCAGCUGUUUGAUAAUUAAAUAAAUACAACCUUCAUAUGCCAUAAAUCCUCAGAGCAAGAGAGUCUGGGAUUGAGGAUCUGGUUGCAGGAAUGAAUCCUACUGGUUUAUCAUCUGUCUCUGAGGCUAACUAACAUCAUAAUAACUGAAUGCCAUGGAGUCUCAACCAUUGAUAAGCUACAACAAUUAAAUUUUUUCUUUGUCUUUCUUUUUUUUCUUUCUUAUUUUUAAAACAAUGGAGUAUAUUCAAGGCAGUGUUAAGCCCUGAAUCACACUGUAAUUAUUUUUCACACAGCUUAUUUGCAUUCACAAUAACCUGAUAACAGCAUGCAAUUCACUCCAAGCUAGAGACUGGUCCAUCAUCCAUUAGCUGAAGACAAACACAGGUUCCAAUAAAACAUUUAGUAAGUGGCUGGGUAAUUCAGGACAGGUCUAUUUCAAGCCUAUUUCCUGUUUACAUAAGCAUUCAAGUCUAAUUCUAAUUAGCAUUCUGAAAUCAGCCUUAAUUAGUACAUAUAUUUUGGAUAGUUCAUUUAAGAAAACACACAGCCUGUGAAGAAAAGAUUUGUAUACAUGGAGAUCUGAGGACAAUAUUACAAAUGAAGAAAACUGUUUCUAAGCGCUACCAUUUCAGAUCAAAGGAGGCUAGAUAGGGAAACAUUUGCCAAGUGGUAGAAAUACCUUUGCUUGGUUCUUUUUUUAAACAUGUGUCUUAGGUCGAACAUAAAAUAAAACAGUGGUGCAUGUAAGUUAUAUCUGUAGAAUGAACAUUUGAGAGUUACAUGGAUUAAAUUUUGAAGCCUCACUCAACCAUAAAAGGCACACAAAUGCUGGGAAGUUGAAUUUUGGGGGGUUGUUUUCACAAAGAAAUGAGUUGUAUAUAAAGAUUAAAAAGCCCAAAUUACUGAUUUAUAAAUAUUGUUUAAAAGAAGACAAACCAGAAAAUAUUUUGAGAACUUUAGGAGGACUUGAG